rnacentral:rRNA from 1 species
GUGAGGAAUAUUGGUCAAUGGGCGCAAGCCUGAACCAGCCAUGCCGCGUGCAGGAAGACGGUCCUAUGGAUUGUAAACUGCUUUUAUUUGGGAAUAAACUCCGGUACGUGUACCGGCCUGAAGGUACCAAAUGAAUAAGCACCGGCUAACUCCGUGCCAGCAGCCGCGGUAAUACGGAGGGUGCAAGCGUUAUCCGGAAUCAUUGGGUUUAAAGGGUCCGCAGGCGGUCUUAUAAGUCAGGGGUGAAAGCCUACAGCUCAACUGUAGAACUGCCAUUGAUACUGUAGGACUUGAAUUCGAUCGAAGUGGGCGGAAUGUGACAUGUAGCGGUGAAAUGCUUAGAUAUGUCACAGAACACCGAUAGCGAAGGCAGCUCACUAGGUCUGGAUUGACGCUCAGGGACGAAAGCGUGGGGAGCAAACAGGAUUAGAUACCCGUGUAGUCC